rnacentral:rRNA from 1 species
GACGAACGCUGGCGGCGUGCCUAACACAUGCAAGUCGAACGAGGUCCAUCCUUCGGGAGAAGACCUAGUGGCGAACGGGUGAGUAACACGUGAAGAACCUGCCCCGAAGACCGGGAUAGCCCUCCGAAAGGAGAGCUAAUACCGGAUACCCCCACCGAACCGCAUGGUUUGGUGAGGAAAUGGAUUCCGCUUCGGGAGGGCUUCGCGGCCUAUCAGCUAGUUGGUGGGGUAACGGCCCACCAAGGCAUCGACGGGUAGCUGGUCUGAGAGGACGAUCAGCCACACUGGGACUGAGACACGGCCCAGACUCCUACGGGAGGCAGCAGUGGGGAAUCUUGCGCAAUGGGCGAAAGCCUGACGCAGCAACGCCGCGUGGGGGAUGAAGGCUCUCGGGUUGGUAAACCCCUUUCAGCAGGGACGAAUCAAGACGGUACCUGCAGAAGAAGCCCCGGCUAACUACGUGCCAGCAGCCGCGG